rnacentral:RNase_P_RNA from 1 species
CAAGCUGACCGGGUGAUCGCGGUUCGGCGUGCCGAGCUGAGGAAAGUCCGCCCUCCACAGGGUACGGUGCUGGCUAACGGCCAGGCGGGGCAACCCGACGGCAAGUGCAACAGAGAGCAGAUUGCCCCAGGCGGCGCGUGCGGCGUCUGGGGUGAGGGUGAAAGGGUGGUGUAAGAGACCACCAGCGCGGGCAGCGAUGUCGGCGGCUAGGUAAACCCCACCGGGAGCAAGGCCAAGCAGGCGCAUUGGAGUGACCCGCUCCGCAAAAAGCGCCGGGUGUGCUGCUUGACCGCGCGAGUAAUCACGCGGCUAGAGAGAUGAUCACCGGCUGGGCUGCGGCCCAGUCACAGAAGGCGGCUUACAGGUUAGCUUGGACA